rnacentral:rRNA from 1 species
GACGUAGGAUGCAAGCGUUGUCCGGAUUUAUUGGGCGUAAAGAGUUCGUAGGUGGUUUGUUAAGUCUGAUGUUAAAGACUGGGGCUCAACCUCGGAAAUGCAUUGGAUACUGGCAGACUUGAGUGCAGUAGAGGCAAGUGGAAUUCCAGGUGUAGCGGUGAAAUGCGUAGAUAUCUGGAAGAACACCGGUGGCGCAAGCGACUUGCUGGGCUGUAACUGACGCUGAGGAACGAAAGCUAGGGGAGCAAAUGGG